CUUCAAUUAUUUCAUAGUUUUAUCUUUCAGUACAAACCAUUCUUCGAUUCGUGUCGCGUUGAGUUAUUAGGUACUUAUACAAAAUUGUUGAUAAGUUCAAUACUUUGAGCUUGUACAAAUUUUUGGACACUGGAUCUAUCUCACUAUCUACUUACAAAGAAUCACGUGCACAAGUGUUGAAUGCUAGAUUACUGGGAAUGGAUCGAAAUCAACUUCUUAUCUUUCCUCAUAAUUCAGGGUAUGUUUUGUAGAAAUUGAGCAUUCAUUGUUUAGUAUCAUUUAGUCUAACAAGUUUUUUGUUUAUUUGAACAUAUAGCGGCCGCUAGAGUUUGGUAGUUAUUGACUACAAAAAAGGUAUUGUAUUUUGGAUGAACUCUCUGUUGUUGGCUUUUUGACAUUUAAUCUCAAAUUAAUUAAUUUUAAUUAAUUAAAUAAUUAACGUUUUGAUGAUAAAAAAAAAUAUAUAAUUUAUUCACAAAUAAUUUUAGUAUUUUGAAUGUUCUAUUGCCUAAAUAUUGGAAUAAAUAUUUCAACGCAAUUUGAAUAACUGAAAUCGGAGCUCAAAUAAAGAAGAUACAACCAAAACAAACUUAACGGAAAAAUCCUAAGCUGAUGACGUAGUAGAAUUUUUCUCAUCAAAGUGGACUAAUUGAAAGGUGGCACUUGGAACAAUGGAGGAGGUACACAUGGUGGACAUUUGAUUUUUUGGAGUGGUUUUCAAAAAAAAAAAAAGUGAAUUUAAAAUGAAAAUGAAUUCAAUAUUAUUUUAUAUUUAUGUCUAAGCUAAUUUUGGACACAUGGUGGACCUUUUCUUUUCGUUGAGUUUUUAAAAAGAAAAUAAAUUUAAUAUUAUUUUUUGUUUGUAUCUAACGGCUAGUUGAUUCAAAAAGGGGAAAAAUCUCCAAUAUUGAUUUUUCUUUUUCAAGAUCAAAUGGUCCAAAAAAAAAUAUGGUUUUCACCUACCCCAUCUUUUUUGAACUCUUCAUUUUCUCUACAUUUCUAUAACAAUUACAUAUUUUUAUAAUCCUCAAAGUCACUAUUGUUAUUCUCUCAAACCUCCUACUUUUCUUUUCAUCUUAUUCUUGAGAGAUUUAUUAUAUUGUGUUGAUUUAUUUGUUGAGUUCUCAAAUUUGUAUAUCUACUCUUUAAGAGGGUAUGUCUCAACUUGUUCUUCAUUUCUAAAUCUAUUGUAAAUGGUCACUCUUGAACCCAUGACAUGUUGUAACUGUUGUAACCAUUUGAUCCUCAAUCGUGGAAAUGUUCGAGAUUGUUGCAGUUUGAUUCUAAGCAAGGGAAAGAGUAAAAAAUUCUAGUGAUGUACCAAGAGGAGCUUGAGAAGUGGAUGUAAGUCGAUUGUACUGAGCUACUAUAAAAUCUUUAAUGUUAAUUUCUCCAUGCCUCCCGUACUUUAAUUUUGAAAUUAAUUUUUUGUUGUAUUUUAUUACAUGAAAUUAAUUGAAAUAUUUAUUCCUUAAA